rnacentral:rRNA from 1 species
CAGAGGUCCCGAGCGUUGUUCGGAUUCACUGGGCGUAAAGGGUGCGUAGGUGGCAUGGCCAGUUUGAUGUGAAAGCUCAGGGCUUAACCCUGAAAUGGCAUUGAAUACUGCUGUGCUGGAGGUUUGGAGGGGGGACUGGAAUUCUUGGUGUAGCAGUGAAAUGCGUAGAUAUCUAGAGGAACACCAGUGGCGAAGGCGAGUCCCUGGACAACACCUGACACUGAGGCACGAAAGCCGGGGGAGCAAACAGGAUUAGAUACCCUGGUAGUCCCGGCCCUAAACGGUGCGUGUUUGCUGUAGGAGGAAUCGACCCCUUCUGUGGCGAAGCUAACGCGUUAAACACGCCGCCUGGGGAGUACGGUCGCAAGAUUA